rnacentral:lncRNA from 1 species
GAUUUGAUUAGGAUUUGCUUUAGGAUUUGGUUGGGAUUUGGUUUAGGGUUUGGUUUAGGUUUUAGGAUUUAGUUAGGAUUUGGAAUAGGAUUUAGAGUUUGGUUUAGAGUUUGAUUAGGGUUUGAUUUAGGAUUUAGGAUUUAGUUGUGAUUUGGUUUAGAAUUUGUUUAGGAUUUGGUUUAGGGUUUAAGAUUUGGUUAGGAUUUAGUUUAAGAUUUAGAGUUUGGUUAGGAUUUUAUUUAGGAUUUAGGAUUAGAUUUAGGAUUUAGUUAGGAUUUGAUUUAGGAUUUGUUUAUGGUUUGAUUUAGGAUUUAGGAUUUGGUUUAGGAUUUGGUUGGGAUUUGGUUUAAGAUUCAAGGUUUGAUUAGGAUUUGGUUUAGGUUUAGGGUUUGAUUUAGGAUUUAAGGUUUGGUUGGAGUUUGGUUGGGGUUUAGUUUAGGGUUUGGUUUAGGAUUUGAUUGGAGUUUGGUUUAGAAUUUAUUUAGGAUUUGGUUUAGGAUUUAGGAUUUUAUUAGUGUUUAUUUAGGAUUUAAGAUUUAGUUAGUUUUGGCAUAAAGUUUGAGUAAAGUCUAAUAGGAUUUUAACUAGGAUUAAAUUAAGAUUGAAUUGAGAUGUAUUUGAGAUAUAUUUGUAAUUAUUCUAAUAUUUUUUUAAGAUUUCUUAUUAUUUCUUUGAAAUUCCUUUGAGAUUCCUUUCUAUUAGUUUGAGGAUGAAAGAUCAAAGAUAACUUUAUGUCUAUCUUUAAAAUCUCUAAAAGGAUUUUCUAAAAUCUUGAUAUGAAUUGAAUCUCUCUAUCUAAUAUAAUAUCUUUAGGUAAUCUAUAAUAUCGAUAGAUAUUAUCAAAGAAAGCUUAGUUGUUGCUUGACCUAUGAUAGAUUUUGUACAUGAUACAAAAUGUGCCAUCUUUGUAAAAAAAUCUACUAUCACAAAUAUAGAAUCAUACAAAUUUAAGAUUGAAAGAUCCAUAAUAAAAUCCAUAGAGAGAAAAGACUAUGGUUGUUUUGAAAUAGGUAAUGGCUGAAGAAGUCUGUAAGAUUGAUGAUGGGGAGUUUUUGAUCUAGAGUAAAUAUCACAUGAUUGAACAUAAUCUUUGAUUGCCUUUCAUAUUUGCAGCCACCAAAAAUAUCUAGAUAUCAACUCUAAAGUCUUGUUGUAUCCAAAAUAUUCAACUACUGGAAAAUCGUGGCAUACUUAAAGAAUACAUAAAUAUGUUUUUUCUUUUUGAACAUAUAGGCAUCCUUUAAAAUAAAGUAGUUUGUUUUUGAAUUUAAAUUUAAAAGCAUCAUAAGACUUAAAAGAAGGAUUCUUGAUAUCAUGAAGAAUAGGAUUAGAAGACAUACUUGAUUGAAUUUUUUUGACAAAGGUUGAAUCAACAAUGAAUGUUGAUUUCAUUAUUUGAAGAUAAAAAUACUUGAGCUUCAAGAGUAUCAUUCUUUGUUGAUUAAAAAAUGCAUCUCUUUCUUUUGGUACAAGAUAAGAAUGUCUAGAAAGGAUGUUCAAAAAACCUUAUUAUUUUUUAGGUUGAUAUGUCAUCUUGAAAUCAAAUCUUGAUAAAGAUAUGCUCCAACAAGGUAGGCAACAAUUCAAAAUACGUGCUAAUAUGAAGUACUUGAGAUUCUUAUGAUUUUUAUAUAUGGUAAUUGGAUUAAAAGCACCUUCUAAAUUAUGAUGCUAUUCUUGAAAAGAAUCCACAAUUUCAAGAAGCUCUUUAUUGUGGAUCUCAUAGUUAAUCUCAACUGUUGAAAAUUUCCUGAAGUGAAAAGCUACUGGGAGAAGUUUAUUAUCUGUUCCCAUUUGUGAUAAUACAACAUCUAAAAAAAUUUUGAUGCAUCUUUUUCUAUAAAAAAUACCUUUCAAAAGUCAAUGCAAUACAAGAUUAGUACAAAAACAAAGGCUGUCUUUAAAGCUUCAAAUAUUACUUUUGUUUCUUGAUUCUAUUAAAGUUUGUUUUUAUAAGUGAAACAUAUAAGUAGAGCUACAACUUGAGAAAAGUCUUUGAUGAAGAUUUAAUAGUAAUUGGCAAAUUCUAAAAAAUAUUAGGCAUCUCGUAUCAUUUUUGAGAUCUUUCAAUUCAUAAUAGUUUGAACUUUCUUAAGAUCUAUCAUAAGUCUAUCAUUGAAAUGAUAUAAUUUAAAAAGUAAACUUGAGUAGUGUAGAAUAUAUACUUUUCUAUUCUAGCAUAGAGUCUUGCUCUCUUAAUUUUUGUAAUUUAUGAAAAAUAUGAAGUUCAUAUUUUUAUGUGUUUUUAGAAUAGAUAAAGAUGUUGUCUAGAUAACAGACAACAAAAUCAUCUAAAAACUCUUGAAAAAUAUUAUUCAUAAGAUAUUAAAAGCUUAUAGUACAUUUAUAAGUCCAAAAGACAUGAUAUUAUAUUCAAAAUAUCCAUACUUGAUUUGAAAUGUAGUCUUCUAUUCAUCUCAUUCUUUGAUGCGUAUCAAAUUGUAUGCUCCUUAUAGAUCUAUUUUUGUAUAAAUCUUAGCUUGAUUCAGUUGAUCAAGAAUUCUAGAUGUUAAACGUAGUGGAUACCUAUUUUUGAUGGUAAUCUUGUUGAAUCUUUGAUAAUCAACACACAUCCGUGAUGAUCCAUCUUUUUUCUUCACAAAUAGAAUUGGGGCUCUUACUAGAGAUUUGGUUGGCAUAUGAAGUUCUUGGCUAGAUUCACUUCAAUAUACUCCUUGAAUUUAGCCAACUUAUUUUAUGAUAAAUUAUAGAUUGGUUCAAUUGGCGAUUGUGCUCUUUCUUGAAGGUUAAUUGAGCAGUCAUAGAGACAAUGUUCUGAAAGAGUAUCUGCAUUUUUUUAUCUUAAAUACAUCUUGAAAUUCUUGAUAUUGACUUGGAAUGCCACUUGAAGUCUUUGCACUAUUAGAAAUGGAUGUGGCAUAAAUGACACAAGGUAAUCAUUCUUUUGUAGCAUGCAAGAAAGUUCUUAAACCUACAAACACAAAUUUUAUUGUAUUAGACUUAUGAUUUUCUACUUGAUUAAUUAUAUUCUUAUAUUUGAUUAGUUAUACUUUUAGAAAAGUUAAGAAUAUGAGAAAUCCAAUUUACUUAAGGGUUGAAUUUUUUAACUACAAAAAGCCUAAAAUGAUUGGAUUAGAGGAAGAUCUAAUAAUAAUAAAUAAAUAAUUGGAUUAGAUCUAAUAAUAUUAAAUAUUUAAUAUUAAAUACUUCAUCUAAAAAAUAUGUUGAGAUUCUUGAAUCUAACAAGGUACAAGCUUUGUAAUAUUUAGGUCCUAAAAUAAAAUUUAAUAUAAAAUAAGAAGAAGGUUUUGAAGAGAAAAUAAAACCUUCAUUAGGUAUUGUACAAGGUGUCAAGGACAAGAACUCUAUGGAAAAGUAAUUCAAACAAGUGAGCCUUCACUCAAAAAAAAGUAACAAAUAUAAAUAAACAAGUAUGUAUAUUGAAAGAGAAGCUAGAAUGGCUAUUGCCAAAAGACAAGAAAACUAGAGACCCUUGAAACUAGACUUGAAGCAAGAAAGGAGUUGACAAGAGUGAAGAAGGCUUCACUCUUGUCUCUAUAUAUACUAUCUAACUAAGGGCUACAUGGCGACGUUCUAUAGGACCUUCAAUAUGUGUUGAUUUUGUAGGACACAUGCUUUGACUUACAAGGCAAGUUUGUCUACGUGUGGGCCACAUAGUUAGCUUGGUCUUCAAGCUAUCAACAUGUGUGGCACAUGGCUAACUUGUUAAUCAUGUUUCUAAUCCAAAAAGUUAAUUAAAGACACCUAUGAAGUCAAAGUAGCAUCUAUGAAGCUUCUAAGAAGCUUUCAUAUCAAAUACUAUAGAAUUAACUUACUUUUAUCUACUUUUACUUACUUCUACCUAUUUGUAUAUAUAAUUAUUGGCUUACAUGAGUAUGUCCGUGACAUUACCUCUCCUUCUAGAGAAGAGUUCUACAUGGAGCGCUCAUCAUAUAUUGAGGAAAUCUAUGAUGCGAUGAAUUGUAUUUACCACAUACUCUGAUCUUUGUUCUUUUCGAAGAUGAUUGAUAGGACCUGUCAACCAUCGGUAGUGUUUCAUAUCAGGGCAGGAAGACCACAAAUUAUUUGAUCAUUGUUGAGGCCUUCAUAACUUCUUUCGAAUAGAAUAUUUGGAACACCAUCAGGAGUUGUUUCUAUCUCUAGCAAAAUCACCAAAUAUCGGGAGUCUCUUCCUAAAUCGUGAUACCAAACGCGUUGUAUCUCGCCAUUUAUUCAAGGAAGAACAUGUUGUUCUUGAAGAUCUUCAUCUCGAUUGCGUCAUCUUGAAGGUUGUGACAAUCGUAAUGUCUCGUCCAGCAGGUCAACAAAUGAAGGUUCUUGAGUCGAAUCCACUGGUUGUUGGUUUUCCAUCUCCUGAGCGUCACAACUACCAAGAAGCUACAAACAAGGAUUGAAAGUAGAAUGUUAUCUUAUCUAGCUGUUGUUUCUUUUAUAAAGAAGGUUUUCAUCUUGAUUUUGAUGGAUGCCAUCAAUGGAAAGCCUCCACCACCUUUGUUGCAUUUGCAAGAUUCUUUAUUGGCUCCCAUGUACAUUGUCGUAAUACGUGAAGUCUUGCUUGAGAAUGCACCGAACACCUAACUGUGGAAGGAAGAAUGAAAAUUACAAUAACAAAAUCUUAAUUCUAAUAGAAUACUAACAAUACUCUAAUUAGAUUAUAAUAAUACUAAACAAGCUUAAUCAAAUUCAAAAAAAUCCUCAAAGAAAUUUCAAACAAACAAUAGGAAUUUUUAAAGAAACAUUAGAAAGAAUACAAAUAUCAUUCAAAUACAUCUCAAUUCAAUCUUAAUUUAAUUUUAGUUAAAAUCCUAUUAAAUUUCAUUCAAACUUUAGGCCAAAACUAAUUGAAUCUUAAAUCCUAAUAAAAUCCUAAACCCUAAAUAAAACCCUAAUCCAAAUCCUAAAUCCUAAAUCAAAUCCUAACCAAAUCCUAAAUCAAACCCUAAUCCAAACCCUAAAUCCUAAAUCAAAUCCUAAUCAAAUCCUAAAUACUAAAUCAAAUCCUAACCAAAUCCUAAAUCCUAAAUACAAUCCUAACCAAAUUCUAAAAAAAACCCUAAUCCAAACCCUAAACCCUAAAUCAAAUCCUAAAUCAAACCCUAAAUCCUAAACCAAACCCUAAAUCAAAUCCUAAAUCUUAAACCAAAUCCUAACCAAAUUCUAAACCAAACCCUAAAUCCUAAAUCAAAUCCUAAUCCAAAUCCUAAACCCUAAACCAAAUCCUAACCAAACCCUAAA